rnacentral:misc_RNA from 1 species
GAUGAAGAACGUAGCGAAAUGCGAUAGUAAUGUGAAUUGCAGAAUUCAGUGAAUCAUCGAAUCUUUGAACGCACAUUGCGCCCUUUGGCAUUCCGAAGGGCACACCUGUCCGAGCGCCGUCGCACAACUGAGGCGCAGCCUUGCGUUGGCGGGCGACUUGUGAGUAGCGAGUCGCCGCCCAAACGAGACGGCGCCGCGCCGCGGCCGACGAAGCACGAAAGCGGAAGUCGACGCGGAGGCGGUUGCCUGUAGGAAGACACAGCUUGGCCUCGGAUCAGGUGGGGAUACCCGCUGAACUUAAGCAUAUCAAUAAGCGGAGGA